ensembl:lncRNA
AUGUUGCUGGCCCCGGGGCUAGGGCUGAGCUGGCCAGCGAGCCAGCCCCUGGGUCAGCUGCCCAGACAAGCAGAGAGCUGGACAGGCAACACGACUGGUGAUCUACUGGCCAGCCAGCCAACCAGCCAUCUAGCCAAUGGCCCAGACAGGCAAUCAACUGGCCAACUGGCCAGCCAGACAACCAGCCCACCAGCCAGCCAGCCCACCCCCAGCAAACCGGCUGGGUGUCCAACCAGCCCGCUCACUGCCGGUGAGCCAGUUGGCCACCAACCAGCCAGCUCACCAACCAGCCAUCCUGGUUGUCCUUCAAGACCACCAGACAGUUGGCUCUCCCUGCCCACACCCGAAUGUCCCCCUCCCACGUCCCUUUCCAGAGCCCAUCCUGAGGACACAGUUGGAAUUCGGGGGACAUCAUCCAAAUUCAUCGGCACAAUGUCCCUGUCCCCCUGGCUAAGUGUGGUCCUGUGGGCAGUGUCUGCCACAGUGCCAGGAGGGGAAACUGAGGCACGGCACAGUGUCAGCCCCACAAGCCCCCUGCCCUGGCCCGGCCACCCUCGCCCUUCCUCAAAUCCUCCUCCAGGAAUUCCACAGCGAGCGGGAGGUGGGGGAGCACAGCCACCCCCCGACCAAACCUGUGGCCCUGGAGCAUUGAUUGUCCCCCUCCCGCUGCCGGCGUCCCCAGCACGGCCCAGCCGCCCCCGCCCGCGCUGCCAAAGCAAACAGCCGAGGGCUCGGCCGGCAUCGAUUCUGCGGGAGCUGCUGUUUGACCACAACUGCUGCAGCCACCUCCACAACAGCUGCAGCCACUGCAGCCACUGCUGUCACCACAACUGCUGCAGCCACCUCCACAACAGCUGCAGCCACUGCAGCCACUGCUGUCACCACAACUGCUGCAGCCACCUCCACAACAGCUGCAGCCACUGCAGCCACUGCUGUCACCACAACUGCUGCAGCCACCUCCACAACAGCUGCAGCCACUGCAGCCACUGCUGUCACCACAACUGCUGCAGCCACCUCCACAACAGCUGCAGCCACUGCAGCCACUGCUGUCACCACAACUGCUGCAGCCACCUCCACAACAGCUGCAGCCACUGCAGCCACUGCUGUCACCACAACCGCCGCAGCCACCUCCACAACAGCUGCAGCCACUGCUGUAACCACAACUGCCGCAGCCACCGCCGCAACAGCUGCAGCCACCGCUGCCACCCCAGCCGCUACUGCCACCACCAUCACUGCAGCCACCACCGCAACCACUGCAGCUGUGACAGCCACUCUUGUCACCACUGCAGCCACCACUGCCACCACAGCCACUGCGGCCAUCACCACUACCAUUGGAGUCACUGUUGCCACUGGAAUCACCGCUGCCAUUGCUGCCAUCACAACCACCACAACCACGGCAGCCACUGCUGCUGCCGCCUCCCGCCUUUAUCCCUUUCCCAACUCCUGCACUCCCAAACGUGGCACUUUGGAGCUUUGUGCCCAGGUGGGUGGAGCUGGUUUGAGGGGCUGCACUGCACCCCCUCCCCAUGCAGGGCUUGGGGACAGGGACAGGGAGCACCUCAGGGACUCCAGCCAGUGUCACCUGGGGUGUUGUACCCCCCCAUACAGUGCUGCUGUCCCACAGCAGUGUUGAGGCUGUCCUGGCUCUGCACCUGGCUGUAG